CUGUCUCCCUCUGUCUCUGUCUCUGUCUCUUUGUCUCUUUCAUUCUCUCUCUGGUUAUACAUUCCAUUGAUGUUUCUUGAAAAUAAGAAGGCACUUUACUAUUGUGUCCACUUAGAAAAAGAACUAUAAUAGUCUCAAUUAGCAACUUAAUGAGAUUUAGAAUCACUUGGGAGAUUGACCUCUUGGCAAUGCCUGUGGGGCAUUAUCUUUAUUAAGUUAAUUGAGAUAGCAAUAAUUGUCUUUCAUGGGUGCUAUUAUUCUCUGAGCCAGAAUCCUGGACCUGUGCAAAAUAUCAAAAGUGUGCUGAGAACAUGAAGUCAUCUUGUUCUGCUUGUUGAUUAUGGAUGUCAUGUGACCUCAUCCUAAUGCCAUGACUGCCCCACAGUGAUAUUCUUAAACUUACUACUUAUAAACUAACUUACAACAUUAAACUGUGGUCCAAAAUAUACCCCUUGUUCCUUAAGUUGCUUUUGUUGAAGUAUUUUAAUCACAGCAACAAAGAAAAUAGCUAAGACAGAAAAUAAGCCAAUACAGAUGUGGCUCUCUCAAUUUUCAUCCCAAAGCAAUGUUCGAUCUCUGUUGUUAGAGAAGUGAUUAUGGUCCAAAAAAGAUAUGAGAAUUUUCUGACUAACUCACACCUUGAAGUAAUACAGUUCUUACUGGUAAUUUAGUCAUCUCUAUCGUGCAUAAAGUUGCUCAUUUACAAAGCUUUUUAAAAAUGAUUAUAUGGUGAAAAAAAAAAGUAUUGUUCAUUCUUAAGGAAGCACCACAAUAUAGAGCCUCAUUGGAUUUUGAGUGAGACAUCCAAGAAGACCUCCCUUGGAGUGGUAUGCAGGCAUUGUGUUCCUCAUGGAUGAGUCUGGUCAUCAUGGGUUCAUAAGGACAUAGGAGCACAGUCAGACCAUGGUCAGACAUGCUAUAUCCAUUGAAUGUGCUCUUCGGAGUAUGUGGCUUUCUCUCUUUCUAUUCUUUGGGGCUCAGUUCUUUCAUUUGUAAAAUAAAGGAGAUUAGAUAAAGAGGACUUUCAUGUUUAAAAGUAUUUCAUUAUUAUAGGAAUUGAUUCAUAAACCCCACAGAAACUAUACUUUUGUAUAGAGCAUUUUACAAUGAAAUGGUCUCACCUCUUGUUAUUAAGUGUGGUUAAAACCUAUCAACCAUUGUCUCUUUGAAAAUGCACACACACAUACAUACAUACAUACAUACAUACAUACAUACACACACACACACACACACACACAGAUCAUGUUUUGGUAUUUUUAAAAUUAGACACAGACAAUGACUCUCAGAAUGGAUUUUUCUCUGCCAGGAUUCUAAAUGAUGUAUCCUUAAACUGUGAUUUAAACAAGAACUGUUUUCUAUCUGGAUUUUCUAAAGUACCUUUAAUUGGUUAAUGAACAGCAAAUCUCUUCUACUUAAGACUCACACAUUGCUUCAGAUGGUUCUGGUUUUGAAGGCUACAUGAUGCAGACCUUGGUAGAGACAGACAGCGCUAGAAAAUCUGGGGACUAAGAAAAGGAAGAGGAAAUCCUUAAGAUGAUUCCAAUACUCCUUUUAUAUUUUGCUUCCAAUUAAAAAAAUUGGCAAGGUAACAAAAGGACCAUCUUUUCUGAUAUUUACUCACGUGAGUGUGGUUGUGACAAAUUUAUCCUUGUGGAUUUCAGGAGCUGAACUUUUAGGUUAUAUUUGACCUUGUACUUGAACUACAAAUGACUUAAUGAUGAACUAAAUAAAAAUAGCCCUUUUUGAAUUGAGAUGGAGUGAGUUUCCACUGUUAGUUAGUGUGCCUUCCUUCGGAGAGAAAAAGACACAGAAAUAUUGGGUGUUUGAGGCUGGGUUUAACUACAAAGUUAGGCUCUGUCUCUAAGGAGUCAAAAGAGAAGCCCUGUGGGAAAGAGAUUACAAUGUUGGAAAGAUGUUUCAUCCAAAGCCAACCUGCAGUUGUUGCUCUGGUCCUUUACUGAAUGAUUCCUGUUAAAGGGCUUCGCUAAGGAUAGGGAAAUGAAGUGUUAAUUCUGUUAGUUAUACUAAAGGAGGGCAGAUACCCUGUUGAGUGAAGAGUUGAUGAGGUGAGGCGAGCUUCCAUAGAAGAUAGUGACAGGUGGGAACCACAUUUCUUAGAGAGACAGUUGUGGUAAGGAGAUAAAGAAAAACAAACAAACAAACAAAAAACCCUUUCCCAACUAAAUGAUCUAUGCCUUUGGGUGAUAUUUUGCAAAGAAAAAAAAAACAGGAUGAACAAGUCUUAGAAACAUAAACAUUCACUUUAUAUCUUUUAAAAUAAUCAUGAUUAUGUGGAAAACAUUGUAUCUCACAGACAAGAUGGCAGUCCUCUGUAGUUAUUGGCUAAAUGUACCAAUUUCUUCCGAGGUGAGACUGUUUUAUGAGUUAUGUGGCAUCCUUUAGAUUUUGGCAUCCUAUGAAAGAGAGAACUAUCUCAGGUUAUCAGUAACCACAUUAUGGAGCUGCAGAAAACAGUGUGGUCCUGUAGCCUGUCUCAAUAAAAAUCCCCAUUUUCUAGUGCUUUCCUGAAGCCACUCUCUUGAAUAUGGUAGCUGAAAUUUUCCUGGCCCAAUUGUUUUAGCUGAGUGAGCAUGCUAACGAGGCAGACAUUUAGCCAUAUAUUUUGUUGAGCAAAAAUAAUAAGUAAAUACUAUUGUGUUUCUGGGGCAAGGAAGCAUCAAUUGUGCUGAGAUCUGCUUUUAAUGAUUUGAGUAUGUGGGAUGGUUACCUGGGUGACUAAGGAGAUGAAGAGACACGGAAGAAUCAGACAAAUCUUAUGAAUAGAAAUUUGACCUCAUUUUCUGGAAGGAGAUUUUGAAGUAUGGGUGGGAUGUUUGGACUAUUCUGAGGAGCCAGGAACAUUUCUUUCUUUCUUUUCUUCUUUUAAAUAUCAUAAUAGUGGCUCCAGUGUAUUACUCUCUGUUCAAACAAUGAUAUACAAGAAGGUCAGUCCAAGAGCCCAAAGAGGUAAUUUCUGAGGAAAAUAAACAGGAAAGAAGGCAAUUUAAUGAGUUACUUAACAUAAGACAUGGGUGGUAAGUGGUUAAGUUUAAGGGAAGAGUUUGGCUGGCUAUAGACCUGAUUUGAAAAGCUUUCCAGUUUUGAAAAAAAGCUUCUAUUGAAAGGUGAGCUAAAGGGCAUCUAAAUGCUGUUCAAUUUAGCACCGAGGUUUGUAGGGAAGCCCAAGAACAUAUGAUUUUAAUCUGCAUGGUGUUCUCUGUCCUUUCACUAUAAUUAUAUUGUUCUCCAAAGAGGGAGCCAAGUAAGCUGCAGAAAGAAAACCUGAUCUCUCUACAGGAAGGAAUCAUUUAAAAUGAAAGAACCCUUGAUCACGAUACUCAGGUCAUCUCACUUCUGUUGGAGAAUAGGCUCUUACAAGGUGAUGCCUGUGCAUAAAUAGUUUUCUGAAGCAUGGGGCUCUGCUCCAGGGGGAGAGUCUUGCUGGGGAGGUAGAGGUGAGUUUUUCAAGGCUAAGGUGGGAAGUGAUGGAACUGAGAAGUUGUCUCUAGAACUGGUCUCUAGUUUAUUGAGGAAAAAACACUCACAGGGGACUUCACUAGAGAUUCAUGAGGAUUGAGGGAAGCCAUUCCUCAGGUGUCCUGCAUCUUUGAUGAAUUCAAGCUCUUGGAAGCUGUUACAGAGAAGAAAGAGAGAGAGGAAAGGAGGAUUCCCAGUCCAUUUAUAAUCAGGACAACACACUUGCCUGUGCCUUGCCUUGAAUUACUCUCUGGACUUUCCCAGACUGGGUGAGGGCUGAGAAGUGGAGAGGAUGCUGCUGGAAUGCUGCUCAGGCCUGACUCCUCCCUAGAUGAAGAAAUGCAUAACAAGAACUCACUAGAUGCUGAGAAUUUCAGGAUGGAAUAGCUAAAUGGAGGCAUCAUAACACUUCAAUGUCUUCUGGAAACAUCUGGUGCCGAAGAUCCCGGGAAUUCUACAACAUUGCCGGCAUGGAGGAGGUCCCCCGGAAACGGGGCGGGUCCAGAACUGCAGUGGAAAGUUCAGAGAGACAUGCUUAACCGAGGAAGAUAAUCCCUUUUGGAUUCCGGAGCGCCUCACUCGAAGGAUCCAGCUCUUGGACAAUGAGUCACAGGAACAAGAUCCCAAGACAUUGAUGGAUCAUACUCCUCAUGCUGGACAUUCUGGUUCCUAGUAUAUCUGGAGAGUUAAGAUGGGGAAUUAUGUCAACUUUCCCUCUUCCUAUGCCAGUUUAUGCAUAAUGCACAAAUAUUUCCAUGCUUUUUCACUACAGAUAAAGAACUGGGACUUGCUUAUUUACCCUUAGAUGAACAGAUUCAGGCUUUAUUAGAAAAUAGAACCUUCUUCCUACAGGGAAGCCUGUGCUUUAUGUUAAUUUUCUCAUUACAAGAUAAGAGCCAAUGUAUAUCCUUGCAUUAUCAAUCAGCAGCCUGGUUAAGAAAGAGCUCUUGGGGCGUAACGACUGAUAUAAAGGCUGAUACCAUAGUUAUAAGAGGAUGGUGGCCCAGCCGAAAAGGUGGAAGAUCUAGAAAUAAGCUGUCUUCACAACCAAGAAUGGCACCCUUUUGCAAGGAAAGGUCCAUGGAAGAUGUAAUGUUACCUUGGACAGGUUGCCAAGCUAAAAAAUAUACUUGGGCAGUAGAGAAAUAUUUUUCCUUUUCCCCAUAUAUUAGUAGAGAGUAUAAUGAUACUUUUGCUGGAUAUAAUUUUAGUACUAUGGAGCCCCUUUAAACUAAUACUAACCCUUUUGAUCAUGAUCUCGCCCCCAUGGCAAUGAUUGGAGGAGGUUCUAGUGAGAAAGGAGAAUUGACCUUUGAUUGGAAAGGUACCUUGAAGACCGGUCGGUCUGAUAAGCAGAGUCCAAAUUCUUUAAAAUGGACCACCUCCAAUGUUAGGUAUAAGAAACAGAAAGAGGUAAAUUUUACCGCCACCCCGGUAGGUGUAUGGCCCCUGUUUUUGUGGGUGGUAAGUAACAAAAGCUUAAAUGAGAAUCAGAUAGAGAUAGAUUGCUCACAAGAAAAAUGUUUUUAUGCUCUAUACUGGGAUGCCAAUAAAUAUACUUUUGCUUUUGUUACCCACAUGCCUAGAUUUGUUCCUGUUCCUGUAGAUGCCCCUAAUAGCUUGACUUUGUUUCGAGGGAAAAGAGAUUUUGGUAUUUCUGCUAUUAUAGUUGGAUUGGUGGUCACAGCAGCGGUUGCAGCCUCUGUCACGGCCUCGGCACUUGCUCUAUCUACUCCUGUUCAAACAAUACAAACUAUUAACGAACUUUCUAUGACAGUCACAACGGCCUUAGAUAAACAGGCCACAGCCAACUCACAGAUACAAGGAGGGUUGAUGUUGAUAAAUCAACGCAUCGACCUAGUCCAAGAACAAGUGAAUAUUCUUUGGCAGUUGGCUCAAUUGGGCUGUGAAUACAAGAUGCCUGGCCAUUGUGUUACUUCUGUUCAGUUUGAAAAUUCUACAAGAGCAGCAAAUUUGUCAAAAACUUUGUCUCGUUAUAUGUUACAGAAUUGGACCAUGGAAUUUGAGCAAAUGCUUCGAGAAUUGAGAGUUGCUAUUCUACAAGUGAAUUCUACGUGUCUCGACCUUUCGACCUGACGAAGGGCUUCUCCACCUGGAUUUCCUCUGCAUUUUCCUACUUUAAGGAGUGGGUGAGGGUAGGCUUGUUUACCGUGAUCCUAUGCGGUGGAUCAUUGCUUUUGCUCUGGAUGGUCUGUAAACUUAAAGCCCAAACAAAAAGGGACAAGAUGGUGAUAGCCCAAGCACUUGCAGCAUUAGAACAUGGUGCCUCCCCUGAUAUAUGGUUAUCUAUACUUAAGCAAUAGGUCGAUGGCCGUUCAGCUCUUGCACCCCACGAGGCUAGUCUCAUUGCAUGGGAUAGAGUGAGUGAGCUUCAGCAGCCCGAGAGAGUUGCACGGCUAAGCACUGCAGUAGAAAGGCUCUGCGGCAUAAAAUGAGCCUAUUCUAGGGAGACAUGUCAUCUUAUAUGAAGGUUGAGUGUCCAAGUGUCCUUCCCCCAGGAAAAACGACACGGAAGCGGACCAAGACCCCUCCGGGUGACUAGCCUGGGAGAAGGUUUUGUGUCAUGCCUCUAUUUUUGCACACUGGGGGUUUGACCUCUAUCUCCACUCUCAGUACUGGGUGGCUUGUUGCCUUUUAAAUAAAAGAAAAGGGGGAGAUGUGAGGAGCCACCCUUGCAAUCGCCAUUACAAGAUGGCGCUGAUAUCUGGUGUUCUAACUGGUAAACAAAUAGUCUGCGUAUGUGCUGGGGUAUUUUUCCAUUCCUUGUGCCCUGCCUGUCCCGUGGCAUCAUCUGGCAUCAUCUGGCGUCAUCUGGGCUGAUAGUGAGCAGUCAGUCAGGGUGAAAUACGUCUCCAACCCCUCUUGUGGUCUAUUUAAGGACCGAGUCUCCUGUGUUCUAAGCCUCCUCCCCCAGAAGCUAAUGAUCUUUGUCUUGAGAUGCAUUAAAGCUAUGCUG